UUUUGUCUUUAUAAGAAGAGGAAGAUCGACCAGAGCUCUCUCUCUCUUCUCUAGGCAUGUGCUCUGAGAAAAGGUCAUCUGAGGACAAAGUACCCGUCUGCAAGCCAGGAAGAGAGCCCUUGCCAGAAACUAAACCCCGCUGGAAACUUGAUUUUGCGCUUUCCAGCCUCUAGAACGGUGGACACCGAAAUUCUUUGCCUGAAAACCUUUUAAAAAUAUGAAAACAAGACAAAAAAUGGCUGGGUUUUCUUUUAGAGUGGCAAUGUCAUUUGUCCAGAAGGGGGAGCUCUCAGUCCGCAUGCAGCGGAGCAAGGCAGACAGUCUGGUAUCUUAUCUGCUGCUUGGGAAAUUGUCUGACAGGAAAAUAUCAACACAAACCAUGCGAUUUGCCGCUGGAGCACGCUGGACCUCAUCUGCUUAAAAAGAUGCACGGAUAUAGUCAUCACAGUUCAUAAUUUAAUAAACUGCUAAAAAAACCACAGAAUAUGUGAAAAACAUUUAAAUCAGAAAGUAAAUGACAGGAUGAUUUGCAAGACACAGGGAUGUAAAAUUAAAAAGCCUCUCGAGCUCCAAAGAAGCAGAUUCUGCUUUGCUCUAUUUGUGAAAGACAACUGGAUGAGUAAAGAUUACUACUUGCAAGGAGACUAGCAAUUUAUCCAAAAUUGGAAACAGAGAAAACGGCAUCUUCUUUUCACUCAUUCUGACUCAAAAUGGGUGUAGCUCAUCAGAGUACAUCGUUACAUUUUCGGGACUUUUGCUACCUGGCUCACAUCACUUUGGUAGCUUGAACUCUGCCAUGAUUGGGAAUAUUUACACCACAAAAAUGGGCUAAUCUCCUAGGAAUGGAUUCUAGGACGGCAUCAGCAGGGGGAUGCAUCAGGACGAUAAUUCCAAGAGUUCAAUGGUGAAUUUCCUUGGCUUCCACUGAUAUCAUGUUGAAUUUUUCCCAAUGGUAAUCUUAUGAUGGCUGCAGCUACCUGUUAACUUCAACAAGCACACUGGCCUGGAGACUACAUGAUGGUGUAUCAGUAAUGGUGCCUCUCCAUCAUUGCCCAUCAAAGACAUUUCUGAUGCUCCAGAAGGAUACCCUUGAGGUCAUCCUGUUCUCACCUCCAAUAUUCAUUAUGAUCUCUAACAUCACUAUAUACAACAUUUUUGUAUAUAUAGAGGAUUUACAACUGCAAACAUCUCAAGCAGCAGUGCCACAUCCCUGCUACCUCCCUGCUUGUGCGUGUGUCCCUACAUUAUCCAAAAUAGGGGUGGGCUAAUGACGAUUGCAGGCUAACUCCAGCCUACCACUUGCUUCUAUAAAUAAAGUCUUAUUGUACACAAACAUAGCCAUUUAUUUA
rnacentral:lncRNA from 1 species